GACGAACGCUGGCGGUGUGCUUAACACAUGCAAGUCGAACGGAAAGGCCUCUUUCGGGGGGUACUCGAGUGGCGAACGGGUGAGUAACACGUGAGUAACCUGCCCUUGACUUUGGGAUAACUUCAGGAAACUGGGGCUAAUACCGGAUAGGAGCUCCUGCUGCAUGGUGGGGGUUGGAAAGUUUCGGCGGUUGGGGAUGGACUCGCGGCUUAUCAGCUUGUUGGUGGGGUAGUGGCUUACCAAGGCUUUGACGGGUAGCCGGCCUGAGAGGGUGACCGGCCACAUUGGGACUGAGAGACGGCCCAGACUCCUACGGGAGGCAGCAGUGGGGAAUAUUGCACAAUGGGUGGAAGCCUGAUGCAGCAACGCCGUGUGCGGGAUGACGGCCUUCGGGUUGGAAACCGCUUUCGCUCAUGACGAAGCUUUGUGUGACGGUAGUGGGUAAAGAAGCACCGGCUAACUACGUG
rnacentral:rRNA from 1 species